AAUAGCAAUGAAUGUGACAGAUCUCCCGUACUCCGACCGAGUAAUUCCGCUUCCUCGCUGCCACAGAGCACUCUGGAACUCAUUUUAAACCCAGUCGCUGAAGCUUGACUGGGUUCUCUCAGGAACUCUUCCACCUGACCAGGCUGCAGCGUUCCCCUUCCAGGCAGGUAUCAUCCCCUCUUCCUUUUCAUCCUAAACUGCUUUCCCAGACAGGCAUCUACACCACUGCCUGUACUGUGAUCAGCUAAUGCCUUUACAAAGGCACUUGUGGUUCUCAAGCCUAGCUCUUUUUUACUUGUCCCGUAUGUUUAAUAUUUAAUAAUAUACAUGUAUAUUUAUUUGACAGUGCUACCCAGCAAUAGAUGCACCCGCUGUGAAUACAAUUAAUUAAAGGAACACUAUAGUCACCUAAAUUACAUUAGCUAAAUGAAGCAGUUUUAGUGUAUAGAUCAUUCCCCUGCAAUUUCACUGUUCAAUUUACUGUCAUUUAGGAGUUAAAUCAAUUUGUUUCUGUUUAUGCAGCCCUAGCCACACCUCCCCUGGCUAUGAUUGACAGAGCAUGCAUGAAAAAAAACAACUGGUUUCACUUUCAAAGAGAUGUAAUUUACCUUAAAUAAUUGUAUCUCAAUCUCUAAAUUGAACUUUAAUCACAUACAGGAUGCUCUUGCAGGGUCUAGCAAGCUAUUAACAUAGCAGGGAAUAAGAAAAUCUUAAUUAAACAGAACUUGCCAUAAAGAAAGCCUAAAUAGGGCUCUCUUUACAGGAAGUGUUUAUUGAAGGCUGUGCAAGUCACAUGCAGGGAGGUGUGACUAGGGUUCAUAAACAAAGGGAUUUAACUCCUAAAUGGCAGAGGAUUGAGCAGUGAAACCUAAGAGGCAUGAUCUACACACCAAAACUGCUUCAUUAAGCUAAAGUUGUUCAGGUGACUAUAGUGUCCCUUUAAUCAUGCAGAUUUGUUUGGGUGAUCGGUUCAUCAAUUUCACCCUUGGAGAAUGAGCCCCACGCUCUGACAAGAAGCCCUUCAAAACCUUCCCAAAGAUUUCAUGUGAAAAAUAAUUUGGGAAUUGACAGUCCCUAAUUUUUCUUUUAUUGCAUGUGAAACUUAACAGCUACCUCUUGAGUUAUAUGCAAUUGUAUGUGCUCAAAGAUACACUAUAGUGACCAAAAUAACUUUAGCUUAGUGAUAGUGAAAAUCACAGUGAGAAGACGCCAGCGUCCAUAUGAGACUUUCCUACGAGACUGGCUGAAUGCGCCCGCAGCUCCUGCCGCGCAUGCGCAUUAAGCUGAAGAGGCGGAGAGGAGGAGGAGAGCUCCCCGCCCGGAGCUGGAAAAAGGUAAGAUUUAUCCCUUUCCUCUCCCCAGAGCCCGACGGGAGGGGGACCCUGAGGGUGGGGGCACCCUCAGGGCACUAUAGUGCCAGGAAAACGAGUAUGUUUUCCUGGCACUAUAGUGGUCCUUUAAGGGUGCCUUGUACCUAAAAAGUUUGGGAACCACUGGGCUAGUGUAUGGGUGAGCCAGCUAUAACAGCUAUAAUCACUUCGGGUCCCCUGAGAGUAGGCUGCCACAAUAAGCUGUUUAGUGAUUGAAUAUACUGAAAAUUAUUAAAAUAUGACAUUUUAAUAUUUUGAUAUUUUUAGAUAUAUUAAUCAUUUUAAACAAAUAAUUACAAUAAUGUAUUCUAGAAUAUGAAAUUAUUUGAAAAGCUUAUCUAUAAAAUAUUAAAUCAGAACGUUAGAGAGCAGCCAGGGUUCAUGAUUUAUGAUGCAAAUAUGGUUUCUCUUGUUGUGCCAUAUUCAUUUCUGCUGCUAGAACAUUUAUUGAAAUUCAUGAGAAAAAAAAAAAAAAAACAGCGCAAGAGAAUAGAAUUAGCUCAUUUGAAACAAUAGAAUUGCAUUGAAUUGCCUCAUUUUUUUACAGACAAGUUUUAAGGUGGAAAUGUGAUAUUUAAUCAUUUUAUUCAGUCACUUUUUUCCAUGACUCUAUAUUUUUUUAUAAAUAUGACUUUUCACAUUAAAAAAAAUAAAAAAAAAUAAGAAAAGACAAUAAUAAGAGCACUAACAUCUUAUCACCCUGGACUCCAAGUAAUCCUAGGUGGGGAUCAUACCACCAGCGCUAUCUUCUAGGAGCAGUCGGCCUGCUCCUUUCUUGUGAGUACCAUUAUAUAUAUUUUAUUUCCAGUAUUUUAUCCAGUGAGCACUAUUGGUUGUCUCUUUUUAUCCGAGUGUUGAACAUACCACUGACGGAGGAAGUCUACCCUAUAUCCCAUAAGCGGGGAUUGUACUGCUGUACGCCUUUCAUACUAGAGCGAGUUGUAGCUCUUGCAAAUGUGAGUUUUAUACCAGCCUUUUAUAUUUUAUUCCUUUUAUUAUUAAACCUAUUGCACUAUUUUGUUCUCUAUCUAUUUUAUCUCUUACAUAUGAGUGGACCUAUACGGAGGAGAACAGCGAGGACAUUUGUUCUGGACUAAGCACCUAUAGACUCUGUGACUCCAAUAAGAGCAUUUUAGAUAAGACUUCUUUUUCUUUUUCUUUAUUUGGACUAUUUGUUAUUUUUAUUCCGUAUUAAGUUUUUCUGGCGCAGCCCUUACUUCUUAUUUUUCUCUCUUUUGUGAUCUUUUAAGGGUGUUUGAGGGAUACCCUUAAAGGGUUGCUGCCUAUUUGUUAUUUAGCGCUUACUCCUUGUCCUGUUUCAUAUAAGAUUUAAGUGAUGCCAUUAGGUCAAAGCUAAUAGAUUGUAAGCCAAUGAGUUCAUUGUCACUUAUUUCAUGUUAAUACUGUCUCUGACGCUCUGUACAUAAUGCGUGCAUUAUUUGUCACUUUGUAGCCCCGUCAUACAUAAUGUAUACCUUUAUUACACUUCAUUACAGCAUUCGAAGAACACUGUCUUCUUCCCACGACAGGAAAAUUGUAAUAAUAUCAUGACAUUCAGGAAAACCCGGCCAGAAAUAGCCAGCAUGAAUAAAAUGCUGCAUUAGGAUUAGGUGAUAGUUUGAUACACAGCAAAGGAGCGAAUAUUAAAGGCACCAACAUUAGAGAUAUUUGCAGGGAUUUUCAUACCAUAUGUUGUUAGGAGCUAGUUUCCCAGAUUGGAGUUCAUCCCUGAUAAUUUGUGUCUGUUGUUUUAGACUGUAUGUGUCAUCUAGUCACUAGGCAGAAAACGCUUUGAAGUCACGAGACGUUUUGCGAUGUAAGUAUUUAUUUAUUUAUUUUACAGUUCUUAUCCAAGAAGGGAGGGAAAAAAAUAAAUCUAAAUGAUGAUAAAUGUUAAAUCUAAAUGAGCCUCUUCUAAUGACUGUAUAUCUUGCCCAUUCUACAUAUAUAUUUGUUUGUCAAAUAGUAGUGAGGAGCCUUAGACAACUACAAUGUUGCAAACUGUAGAUAAGAGGGAGAUGGUGUGUGUGUGUGUGUGUGGGGGGUAUAGUGAGGUGUGGGAGGUGUCACUACAGAGAUGGAGAAAGAAGAGUAAUGCAGUUUUAAUCGGGUGGACAAGCAGUGGAUAAUAUCAAGAAACCACCAAAGAUUUCAAGAUCGUUUGUACACAAAGAGGUUGGAGGGGAGAAACACACACACAAAGAAGCUUGGAGUAGAAAGAGACACAAAGGGUCUUGGGGAGGGAGAGACACACAAAGUGGCGAGAGGUAAGUAAGAGACACACAAGGGGUUUUAAGAGACACACAAAUGGGAAAAUAGGGCAUAAGAUGCACUAAAGCAGGUAGGACAUUCAAAAGAGAGGAUAAGAGACACAAACGGGGAUAAGAAUUUUAAAAAGGGGGGUUAAGAGACACACAAUAUUUUUCUUUUGGGGGAGGAGGUGGGGAAUCAGGGUUGGCAAAAUGCAUAUCCACCUGUGUCGCCAAAAGCCUUGCACUGGCCCUGACCAUGACAACUUCUAAAAGUACUGUGGUUGAAGUAACCAUUUUUUUAAAAACUUUAGUCACACACAAAUGAAUCUAUAACCUGUAGCAGACUAUUAGCAGAGCAAGAGAUAUAGCAUUCUAAUUUAACCCCUUAAGGACCAAACUUCUGGAAUAAAAGGGAAUCGUGACAUGUCACACAUGUCAUGUGUCCUUAAGGGGUUAAACAUAUUGUGUAAUAAUGGAAGCUAAAAUAUAUAAACUCUUUUUUAGGAAGUGUGUAGGGAAGCUGUAUGAGUCUCAGCCAGGGGAGGUAUACCCAGGUCUGCCACCUAAUGCACUUAAUAUAUUAUAGCAUAAGAUCUAUAUAUAUAAUAAAACAGGGAAAAGACUAGAAAUAAAAAGAAGAAAAGGCUCUACUCCCGGUCAGCAUUUUGGCUUUAAAUCUAAUGCUAAUGAAUGUUAAGAGCCAUCUUGUGACUUUAUUGCAUAUUCAUAAUGUGGGCUUUAUUUGUAAUACUGUUAGAUCUCCAUCUGAACACACGCCAUUGUACUGAAUCAAAAACUCAUAACUCAGUAUUAUCCCAUCCGAACGAUAAUUUGCCAAGGAAAUAAAUGCUGAAAAGAGCAAACAAAAUGUCAAAUGUCACAAUUACAAUAAUUUGCAUCACCCUGUACUAAAAUUCAAGGGAGCAAAGGAAAAUUUGCAUGUUGCUUUUCAUUUCCACUAGAAUGAGAAAAACAAAAAUGCUGUUCAGCUGCUACAGUAACACUAUCUGCAUCAGAGCCACCAUUUAUCCACCCACAUAGUGGGUCAGACACAGUGCCCUUUGGGUAGAAUUCCAUUCAGCGGAGGUGGUUUUAUACUCAAGCUCAGUCCUGUCCAACCUAAGUUUUAAAGAAACACACCAAGCACCAUAAUCACUACAGAUCGCUCUAGUAGUUAUGGUGUUGGAAGUGCCCUGGCACCUUGCCAUUGUAAGCAGUUAAACACUUUUGGAUGAUUGCUUACCUAGGGGCCGCUAGGAACCACUACUCACCGCCUCUACUAAUUCUAUAGAUCCCAAAGUUCCAAACAUAAACUUCCAUUAGCUCUCCUGUGCUCAUCCAAUGGGGUUAUUGAAGUUUUUUUUUUUUUUAUUCUAUAAAACUAAACUGGUAGUGAGACUGUGACCCUUAUCACAGUCAACCCAACUUUUGGGCUAGAAAUUAUAUACAUUAACCGAAGUUUGAGGCACGCAGAAUGAGAUGUAUUACACAGCCGCUGGAAUAUGAUGUUGCCUCUGACAGGACUGAAGCACACUUUGAAUUCCAAUGACCUAAAAUGGAAAAACUUAAUCCAACUCAACGGAAUGUUCAGCUGCUGUGCGCAUUAAAACUCAAGAGGAACUUGCCACAGACUUUGAGGGUUACUACAAGCAUCAUAGCUAUUGUAGCCUGCUGUAGUGGUUAUGAUGCCAAGAGUACUGUAGCCCAGUUCACCCAGAACUGAGGCAAAUCAUUUAGUAGUGGUUCGCCCCCUUUGGUGGGUCCCCACCGGGUACAGAUGUUCAUUGGUGGACCAGUGACAAGCCUCUGUAUUCUGUAGAUGCCGAAAGCCGUAGUCAUGGCCCGAGCAUCAUUUCACCACACUAGCCAGCAAUUCUGUGCAACAACAGACUUCCGGGCUGGUGAUGAGGGGUUAAAGUCCUUCAGAGAGAAACACUGCACAUACAUGCUGUGGGCACCAUAACCACUUAAAAUAAUUGAUAUGGUCAUUGUGCUUAGCGUAACACUUUAACCACUGUCACCACACUCUCCCUUAGCUGCAGGGUUAACGCACUUUUGUGAGUGGGCGCUGAGUUGUGGCCAAUAUUGCCGAGUUCUUCCUGUUCACUUCAGUCCACUUGAGUUAAGUGAAAAAAAUCCCUUAGGAGCCCAAGCCAGCUGCAUGUUUGCCAGUGUUCCUGACAUUACCAGAACAAAUCUGCAGCAUUGAGCUCGAUCCAGACAUGGUUCUUUGGACCAGUUUCCAUUACUGGGCAUGAAAUCACUAUGUGUACCUUCUGUCUGUAACAAGCAGUGAAAUAAAAUCAUCUCGUACAUUCACAGAAAAUAAUAAUUAAACAAAAUCUUACUAAUGUUACAAUGUAUAUGCUGGAGUUCUCCAGUCGGCUGUUUAAGGGAAUAAAACACUGAUAAUAAAACAAAAUUUUACUCUGACCCAGAGAGUUUCACUACCUGCUCUGAUGUGUGUUGGUGGGAGUCAGGACUCUAACUUCCUCAUCUGACUUAAUAGAAGGCUGUGUAGAUCUAACUCAGUUCCUGUAUAACACUCAAACUGAAGCUCUUGCUCCAAUAAGAGUAAGAGCUCAACUUAUUGAACUAGUCCUUCGCACAAGGUUACAUAGCUGAAAAGAGACUUGCGUCCAUCAAGUUCAGCCUUCCUCACAUAUGUUUUUGCUGUUGAUCCAAAAGAAGGCAAAAAACCUAGUCUGAAGCGCUUUUUUUUGCAACAAGCUAGGAAAAAAUUCCUUCUUGACCCCAAAAUAGCAGUCAGAUGUCUCCUUGGAUCAAGCAGCUAUUACCCUACUAAUUAGAAAUGAUUUCCCUGGAUGUUAUGUUUUUGCAAGUAUUUAUCCAAUUGCUGUUUAAACAUCUGUAUGUACUCUGAUAAAGCCACCUCUUCAGGCAUGGAACUCCAUAUCAGUAUUACUCUUACUGUAAAAAAACCUUUUCUUUCCCUUUGAUGAAAUCUCCUUUCUUCCAUCCUAAAUGCGUGACCUUGUGUCCUAUGUAUAGCCCUGUUUAUGAAUAGAUUUCCAGAUAAUGGCUUGUACUGGCCCCAAAUAUAUUUGUAUAAUGUUAUUAUAUCCCCUCUGAGACAUCAUUUUUCCAAACUAAAGAGAUUUACAUUUUUAACCUUUCUUCGUAACUAAAAUGCUCCAUUCCUUUUAUCAAUUUUGUAGCUCGUCUCUACACUUUUUCUAGUGCCAUGAUAUCCUUCUUUAGAGAAGGUGCCCAAAAUGGCUCAGCAUAUUCAAGGUGUGGUCUUACCAGCGAUUUAUAAAGAGGCAAAAUUAUAUUUUCAUCCCGAGAAUUUAUGCCCCUAUUUAUACAUGACAAAACCUUACUGGCCUUAGCAACUGCAGAUUGACAUUGCAUUUUGCUGCCUAAUUUGUUGUCUAUAACAAUUCCCAAAUCCUUCACGUGUGUGGUUAUCCCUAAUUCACUACCAUUUAGGGUGUAAGUUGCUUGUGCAUUCUUGACCCCUAAGUGCAUAACUUUGCAUUUCUCUACAUUUAAUUUCAUCUGCCAUUUUAGUGCCUAGUUCCCCAAUCUAUCCAAAUCCCUCUGCAGCAAAGCAAUAUCCUGCUCAUAUUUUAUUACAUUACAAGAUUUUGUGUCAUCUGCAAACACUGAAACAUGGCUUUCAAUGCCUAUUUCAUAACAUAUUAAUAUGUUAAAUAGAAGCAGUUCUUAAAACAGAACCCUAAGGGACACCACUUACCACUUUUGUAUAGCCUGAAAAUUUACCAUUAAUGACAACUCAUUGUACCCAAGAACAAUAAUAUUCAUCUAUUUUUUAGUUUGAAGCCUAACCUAUUGUGUGGAAUGGUAUCAAAUGCCUUGGCAAAAUCCAAGUAGAUCACAUCCACUGCAACACCUUGAUCUAUACUUCUACUUACUUCUUUGUAGAAUGCAAUUACGUUAGUAUGACAUGACCUAUGUUUCAGAAAAACAAAGUUCUUCCCAAUGAAUUCCUGAAUAUUAUCUCUUAAUAGCACUUCAACUAUUUUCCCAGUCACAGAAGUUAAGCUCACAGGUCUAUAAUUUCCAGGCAAGGAUUUUGAACCCUUUUUAAAUAUAGGAACGACACCUGCCUUCCUCCAAUCCUCCAGUACAAUACCUGAAACAAAAGAAUCUUGAAAAAUUAAAUACAGAGGUUCACUUAUUUCUCCACUUAGCUCCUUAAGUACUCGUGGGUGAAUCCCGUCAGGCCCCGGAGCUUUAUUUACAUUAAUUUUCUUUAACUGCUGUAGCACCUUGUCUCAAGUCAUCCAAUCACAAGUUAUCUGCAAGUUUUUUGCAACAAUCAUUUGCAUAUCUCCUGCCAUAGGAACCUCAUUAAUAUAUACUGAAGAAAAAUAGUUAUUUAAAAUGUCUGCCUUUUCCUGGUCUUCAUUAGCUUACAGACCCAUGUUUUCAGUGUUUCCAGGUUAUUAUGCGGCCUUCUAUUUUUGGAUCAUAUGUAGGUUAGAAAAAUAAUUGAUGCAAUCCUUAACAUAAAAGGUAUACUCCAAACACCAUGACCACUUCAGUGAUCACUAAUUGAUUUGAAGUGGUCAUGGUGGUAGAAGUCAGUAUGUGCAGUGCUUCAGCACAUGUGAGAUUGGCCUCCCAGAACUGUGUUCUGGGCUAGCAAUGUCAAUUCUGUGCAUAAAACAUGUCUGUUUUCAGCGCACUGACAACAUACAUAGAAAUCUUCCCCUCGCAGACAGAGCGCCUGCAAUUGGAAGCUAGCUCUCUCCUCCCACCCACUUGCCGGCACUAGAUUCCAUGUGAGUAAAACCUUUUAUUGCAUAUUUUAUACAAAUUGGGAGGUCUGAGGGGGGACUUUCUCCACAGUGCCCAAUAGGGCAUAUUAUACUGGAAAGGACCCACCCACAUCUCAAAAGGGGUUAUAGUAACUCUUUAAAACAAUUACCAGUCAUUAUGUGUAGUACUAGUAAAUUAUUUUAGAGAUUAUUUUAAAAUUAUAUUUAAAGGAACACACCAAGCACCAUAAACACUACAAGUCACUGUAGUGGUUAUGGUACCAGACAUGCCCUGGCUCCCCUCUAUUGUAAGUAAUCAAACUCUUUUUGAAUGGUUUGCAUUCUUACCUGAGGUCCACUGGGCACUGCUACCUGCCUCUUCUACGAACACUUAGAGACCUGCAUGUUCCUAAACUGUAACGCAAGGCUUAGCUCACUGGCUGAGAGUGUCAAAGUGUAGUGGUUAUGGUGCUUGUAAUCAUCCAGAUAGGAACCAAAGAAAAUCUGGGGAGGGACAGCCUUUUAUAAAAAUCCCAGCCCCAAUUAGGGACCAUACAUUAAACCAGUGGUGUAUCCUGGUUUUGUGCUGCCCUAGGCAGGACAAAACUCAGGCACCAGCCACCCCCCCCACGCAACCGCCACCCAACCUUCCCCCCUGCUCCGCCUUCUAAAUACACACACAUUCACUGACAGAUACGCAUUCACUAGCUAACAGAAACACACAGUCACUAACAGACACACAGUCACUAACAGACACACACACUCACAGGCAAACACACACACACUCACAGGCAAACAGACACACACACACUAACACUAACAUACAUACACUAACACUAACAUACAUACACUAACACUAACAUACAUACACACUAACACUAACAGACACACACACUAACAGACACACACACUAACAGACACACACUAACAUCCACACACUAACAGACACAAACUAACAGACACACACUAACAGACACACACUAACAGACAUGCACACACACUAACAGACACACACUAACAGACACACACUAACAUCCACACACUAACAGACAUCCACACACUAACAGACAUCCACACACACUAACAUACACACUAACAGACACAAACACUAACAUACACACACUAACAGACACACUAACAUACACACACUAACAGACAUACACACACUAACACACACACUAACAUACACACACUAACACACACUAACAUACACACUAACACACACACACACUAACACUAACAUACAUACACACUAACAGACAUCCACACACACACUAGUGCUUUUUUUGUUUUGUUUUUUUAUUUAACCCCCCCCCCAGCCUCCUUACCUUUGGUAAUGCUGGGGGGGGUUCUUCCUCUCCCUGGGCGCUGGGCGGGCGGCGAGGGAGCUCUUCCCCUGAGCGCUCUGCUCAGCUCCCUCGCGCGCCGGCAGCAGAGUGAGGCUGGGAGCCGGGUUGAUGACGUCAUAUUCCGGCUCCCAGCCUCACUCUGCUGGCGGCGCGCGAGGGAGCUGAGCAGAGCGCUCAGGGGAAGAGCUCCAUCGCCGGCCGCCCGCCCAGCCCAGCGCCCAGAAUGUCUGUUAGCCGCGAGGCUAACAAGACAUUUGCCUUGGGCAUUUGGGGGGCGGCGUUUUUUGCCGCCCCCUGAAAAAUGCCGCCCAAGGCAAAUGCCUUGUUUGCCUCGCGGCUAAUACGCCCCUGCAUUAAACCAUGCAGUUUACUACUGGCUAAAUGACAUGUUAUCACUACGCAGUUUAUUGGGAUAAUCAUCUCUUUACAUUUCUAUUAUCUUUCUUAAACAGUGAAAUACAUGAUCUUAAAAGCUACGCCACAUUUCCUACGGGGAAUUCAUCCUCCCAUUACCCCUCCCAGUUCUUUUAAUACUUGUACUCCAUACAUCUGCUUAUUUAUCUGUGUGUAUUUGCAAUGCAUCAGUGCAUGCAGAUUAUAGUCCUUUAUAGAAUAUUCAUUAUUCCUAGCUCUCUCCAAUAAUCCAUAGUUUUUCCAUGUUACAAGGUUUUUUUUUUCUCUCUAAACAGUAACUUGUCCUGAAUUCAAAUCAAAUUGUAAGUUUCAGGCUGAAGUAGCUGCAUUGACGUUACUCUGCAACGUGGCUCUAGUUGACUACUUUGGUAAUAAAUAUGCAAUUAUCAGGUUGCCACAAUUCACUGUUUAGUGAAUAACCCUUGAGAAUAAAGUCUUAUUAUUUAUUCUGUAGCAGAAUCGCAUGGAUAUUUAUAUCAAUCUCUAAUAAUCUUUUUACUCAAGAAAACAAUAAAACUGAAAGACAAGCAGAGAUAAUGAGGUGGAUUUAGACAAGAGGUUGGGCAUUGUUUACUGUAGAGUGAAUAUUUUGUGCUGAAGGAAUUCAUAAAAUGUACAGGGUCAGCCUAGGCACCACAACCACCUAAGCUGAAGGACGCCAUACCCCAGUUCUUGGUCAAACUGCUAAAAAAAAAACGUGCUUAUCCAAUAAUUGUCUAUAAAUUAUUAAUGAAAUUGAUAAUGCUAAUGUGGAAAUACUUCUGCAUUAGCAACAGAUGACCAGGGCUUCACGGAUCCCCAGUUUUGGCUAAAUUGCUCAAAUACGUCUUGAACAAGCAGUGGACGGCACUCGUAGCCUAAUGGCCCUAUAACCACUUCAUUAACACAGUGAUUGUGUAUCAUAGAUUGAUGCUCUAAGAAUACAUUAUGUAAUUUACACUACUGUAUAUUCAAAAGUGCUUACUUUGUGCAUUUCUAAACUAAUGUUUGCUAAUAGAACUCAAAAGGUGGUUCAAACUGAAAGUGAAAACAGGUGCUUAAAUUAGAGAAUACAAAACUAGUAAGCAGCUACUACACGUGUGCAGGUAUUUCUCUCAAAAUUCAAAAUAGUGAAAAAAAUAUAUUUUGGAAAACAACUCCAAAAUAAACAAGUAAAUAAGUGGCAUGCUAAAAUAAUAAUAAUAAAAAAAAAUAUUUAGUUAUAGAAAUAUCUGUGGACAGUGUGGUACCUGAAGGCCCAAGAGCCCAGAGUUUACAGCCUGCCUGCAGAGGCUCCUGUACGUGUGAGUGUAACAUAUCACCAUCCUUGGUUGAUCCACUAUUGAGAGUCACAUUUAAUUUCUAGAAUUGCCCUAUUGUAUAUAGUUUUCUGUUUUCUUCUAUGCUAUAUAUAAACCAAACAAUAGAGUGUGCUGUGUCUUUAAGACUUUAAAUAUAUACCUUAUAUUAAAAGUGUGAUUUGCAUAAAACACAAAACAAUUGGUGUAGUGAUGAAAUUGUUACCCAAAGUGCCAAAGUGCACACUAAAACACACUAAAAUGUGUAAUAAUGUGCAAAAAUAUAAAUAUAAUAAAACCACACAAAACGUGAUAUAAACACCCUUUUCUAUUUUACUCACUGAGGAGUAUCUCACUUUGCUUGUCUCAAGGGUCCAAUAUGAUAUCUCAAAAACAAGAGAAAAGGGACAAUCACAUAGGGCAAUAUGUAUUAUACAAAAGGAAUUUGUAAAAUAGGCAGAAACACUCACAACUGUGGAACAGUCAAGUCUGCUCUGAACUGUAAUGGUAUCUUUUGCUUUCUUAAGAAAUAAAUCCAGUUUUUAUCCGAGAACAUACUGUACCAGUGCAAUAGAUAUGUUCGAGAAGUCAGUAAUUAAUGACUUUGAAAAACUCAAAUGUAAAAAUCAGAAAAGGAGAUACAAUCUAAAUUAUAAUGAAAAAUGUGCUUUGGAUGGGUUGAGAAGCGAUGAAACUAUAAUUAUAAAACCCGCAGAUAAGGGCGGUAGUAUUGUCAUUCAAAAUACUGAAAAAUAUUUAAAAGAAUGCUAUCGACAACUGAAUGACAAAAAGGUAUAUAGUGAACUCAUUAUAUUCACUUUUAGAGAGAGGUCUGGUAUAUUGAAUGAUAAUGAAUAUACCGUAUUUAUCGGCGUAUAACACGCACCGGCGUAUAACACGCACCUCAUUUUAAGAAGGAAAUUUCAGGGAAUAAAAACUAACUUGGUCCUACAUCGUAUAUAUAUCGAUGAUUUGAUUUUUAUAUGGAAUGGUGAAACGGAUGAUUUGGACAAGUUUUUAAAUGAUCUUAAUCAAAAUAAUUGGGGCAUUAAAUUAACUAGCCAAUAUAGCACCACUAAAAUUGAAUUUUUAGAUCUAGAAAUAUAUAUUGAGGAUAUGGAGAUUAAAACUAAUUUUUAUGUUUUUUUUUACUAUUAAUGCAAAUAAUUAUGUCUUAUACAGUAGUGGUCAUUAUACUCCAUGGUUAAAUAACAUCCCUUAGAGUCAAUUAAGAAGGAAUUGCAUGGAUACAGUAAUUUCUAAAGAACAGGCACAACUUUUAAAAGGGAGAUUAUUAGAGAAAAAAUAUCCAGAGGAUUUAGUAGCGGGUGCAUAUGAAGAAACAUUAAAUCUAAAUCAAGAUGAUCUUAUUAAAAUAAAAUAAGUUCAUUAUAUUGAAGAUAAGAACUGUGAUAAUGUACCGAUGGUAUUUGGUUUUAAUAUUCUACAUAGGGCUAUUGAAACUAUAAUAUAUAGACAUUGGCUUUUAUUAAAAAAGGAUACGUAGUUAGCCAAAGUUAUACCCAAAAAAACUUUUAUAACUUUUAGGGGGGCCCCCAAUUUUAAUUUAAUUUUAACACAUAAUCUCCCUGGAAAGACUAUACAUAAACAUGUUUUAAUUGAUAGAAAGGGUUUUUAUUCCUACGGUAAAUGUACUGGCUGCAGGUAUAGCAGAAAGGAGACCUUAAAGGGUAUUAAUAAAUUAAAAAGUAAACAGAAUGACAAAGAGUUCUGUAUCAAUGAUUUUAUUACUUGUUUUACUAAAAACUUAAUUUGUCUUUUAAUUUGUCCACGUGGGCAACAAUAUGUGGGUCGUACGUGUUUUUUUAUAUAUAGAAGCCUUUUUACCAUUUUGUAUAUUUUAAUUAAACUGUUAUUUUCAUAUAUUUAAGAAAAUAGGGUUUUUUCAUUUUAACCAAUCAUAUGACAUUAUUUGCAGACUUUUGGGCAGUCACACCCACUAGAGUGACUUAAAUUGAGACUGUGGUCGAAGUAAGGGUGGAUCUGAUGAAGCCGAGUGCAUCUGCGAAACGUGUCAUCAUGUUCUGACGUCAUUAUGCUCAACGGCCGUAAGCCCCGCCUCCCAGAAGAAAUGUGCUACAAAUCCAGCCCUCUGGGUCUUGUGAAGCUGGCAUUCGACCUAAAGACUGGAGAGGACCUAUAUCAGAGGAGAGGGAAGAGAAAAGAAGGGGACUCACCUGCCUGGAAG